rnacentral:rRNA from 1 species
UAAGAAUCUUCCGCAAUGGACGAAAGUCUGACGGAGCGACGCCGCGUGGAUGAUGAAGGCCGAAAGGUUGUAAAAUCCUUUUCUCAAUGAAGAAUAAAGCAGGGAGGAAAUGCCCUGCAGAUGACAUUAGUUGAGGAAUAAGCCCCGGCUAAUUACGUGCCAGCAGCCGCGGUAACACGUAUGGGGCAAGCGUUGUUCGGAAUCAUUGGGCGUAAAGGGUGCGCAGGCUGUGCUGUAAGUCAGGUGUUAAAGGUUGGAGCUCAACUCCAACAUGCCGCUUGAAACUGCAGUACUAGAGUUCUAGAGGGGAAGCUGGAAUUCCUGGUGUAGGGGUGAAAUCUGUAGAUAUCAGGAAGAACACCGGUGGCGAAGGCGAGCUUCUGGCUAUGAACUGACGCUGAGGCACGAAAGUAUGGGGAGCAAAC